UUCUGAAUCGCUCACGUAUCCGGAUUUCCACAGGAAACAUCUUUGUGUCCGUCGUUUGGACGAGAGUUACAGGAGAGUCCCGCAGGAUUUCGAGGCUUUAAGUCCGUUCAGGCCAUGGUCUCUUUCCCCGGGAGCCUCCUGUCGUUAAAGCACCUCGCCGACGGCCACGAACACGGACAGCACCAGCCCGGCGGCCAGGACGAUGAAGAUGCCGCCGAUGUUCUGCACGCCGAGCGCACUGGCCUCUUUACUCUCCUCCUCCGGACAGCCGUUCCCUCUCCACCACUUCUCCUUCAUCAUGUGCAGCUUGCCCUCCUCCUGCAGCUGCAGGAUGGCGAUGGUGAUCUUGUCUCGAUACGGGGAGCCUGCGGAGGGAGACGGAAGAGGGCUGAAAUUCGGCUGGAACUGACCUACUAACGAGCGGCAGUGAGUCAGAUGUAAAGCCUCAAUCCGCAGCGGGACGCGUCAGAUCAAAGCGCGUGAAUCUCGAACACCCAGCGCUCGGCUGCCAGACGCCAUUCAACGCCUAUUAGCCUGCGAACACAGAUUCUGGAGCGAGUUUGCGUGUCGUACGAGUCUGAAGCAUGUGUGCGCUUAACAGGAUUACCCAGAUGGGAGUGGGAAGAGGAUUUGCACAGAUAAAGAUGGAUAAAUAUUUCCUUUUCUAUUUUCUCCACCCCCACACAACUCCUUACAGAUAUUAAUGUUUAUAUAAAGCCUCUCAUCAAGAGCGCUCAGAUCAUCUGCUGUCGAACAGGAGAAUCAUGGGAAAUGAAACUAGUUAAGUCUGUUUUACCCAUGG